rnacentral:sRNA from 1 species
CUAAAGACAAGAAAAAAGAAGAAACUUUCUCUAAAAGUGCUCCGAUACUCACAAGUCUGGGAGAAGAGAAAAACCAUACACCAAUAUACAGUCAAGUGAAUGAUUAUAACAAAAUCACUGACCAACAUACAAAACUAACUGACCGUAGUGUCAACUCACAAAAGCCUGUCCAGAAAGAUAAAUCACCAACACGUUCAGAAGCCAACAUUGUUAAAGAUAGCCCACCUGACCCUGAUGAUGAUGGACAGCCCACCCAGCCUGUGGUAGCCACCUAUAUAGCUACAACCUAUUCUGCUCUGGAUGACCCACUGUCCAGUACAACUAGUCUUGACAAAUUGCCUGUAGUUGAGGAGGAAGAGAGCCAUAUCAGUCAUGCCUAAAUAGACUGUUGUCCAUCCUGUCACAAAGAAUGUCUGCCGGCCAGUUUGCUAAUGUUGCAACAUGCUUUGACUGUUUAGUAAAUAUUUAUGGAAUUAAAACAAAUUUUCAAAAAUUAAAUAAUUAAAAAGUAAUUAAAUCAAUGUUAGUUUUUUUCAUCUAUCCAUUAAAAAAGAUGUGUAUCAUUAAUUAGAUGUUUCUAAAAAAUAUUUUUGGGGAUGUUUUUAGAGAAUUAGCAAAUUAUUUUGUAUACCUUACUAUUUAAAAUUGUUUAGUAACUAAGAUGAAUUGAUCAAUGUAUUGAUAAAAAGUUUUUAAUUUAGACAAGUAAAUUGUUUAAAUUUAUGCUUUUUU